UGAAAUUCCUACGCAGGGAUUUCUUUUGAGUCCACCGACUUAUUUUUCGAAGGAGUGAAAAUGGAGCAGUCGAGUCCGUUCCUAUGCAGAGUUUGGAAAUCGGUGGCAUUGAAGGGUCGCCUAACCGUGCACGCGAUCGGGCUGUAGUAUUGGGUUAGAGUUACGAAGUGCGCGUAACUCCCAAUGAAAUCAGUGGAAUUGCAGAAUUAUGUUUGCAUCCAGGAUCUUGACAAGUUGUAUCUUUUUAGCUGUACCCAUGAGGUUAACUGGAAGGGAACCAGUAAAGUUGAUUGGCAUUAACUUUAGGACUGACAAAUUUAUUCAGAGGAUUUGCGAUUUAAUUUAUGGAAUUCACGGGCACAGGAUAUAGAAUAUCUUUUAAAGGGGUUCUUCUUAAGUUAGCCACCAUAGCUAAACAGUCCAUAGCUGUCAACUUUCAGAUUUGAAAAUAAUUGAUCAGCAGCCUCGAAAAUAUGGGACCAGCAGCCUCACCUGUCCCAGGGACAGUCUACGGGAUAUCGAACAAUCCGGGAUAGCAGUGGGAAACGGCGCUGGAAUAAAGGAAUUUCUCGCAAAAAAAGGGAAGGUUGACAGCUAUGAAACAGUCUUUGUGGUCAGAGGCAAAACUUGAGUGUUGGAACAAAAACAACAGGUGAAAGUUGUCACUUUUUCUUUAAAAAACUUAAAAAAACAUUUUAAACAAAGAUAAACCAACUACAUACAGAGAAUCAUCUAUGAAUACCCUACAGCACUUUGUCAAAGGGUAUAACAAACACAAAUUAAUACAUAUUAGCCACCAUCACUUGAAUGCUUGUCCACAACUUAAAAGUUAUUGUAUCAGCAUCAGUGGUCUGCAGGGUUUAUACAAAAGCAGGAGGGGAGGAG